rnacentral:tRNA from 1 species
GCCUCCGUAGCUCAGGGGUAGAGCGCUUUCUUGGUAAGAAAGAGGUCAUGGGUUCAAAUCCCAUCGGAGGCU